rnacentral:rRNA from 1 species
UGGCGGACGGGUGAGUAAUGUCUGGGAAACUGCCCGAUGGAGGGGGAUAACUACUGGAAACGGUAGCUAAUACCGCAUAACGUCGCAAGACCAAAGAGGGGACCUUCGGGCCUCUUGCCAUCGGAUGUGCCCAGAUGGGAUUAGCUAGUAGGUGGGGUAACGGCUCACCUAGGCGACGAUCCCUAGCUGGUCCGAGAGGAUGACCAGCCACACUGGAACUGAGACACGGUCCAG